UACGUAGGGGGCAAGCGUUGUCCGGAUUUAUUGGGCGUAAAGAGCGUGUAGGCGGCCUGAAAGGUCAGCUGUGAAAACUCGAGGCUCAACCUCGAGACGUCGGUUGAAACCAUCUGGCUAGAGUCCGGAAGAGGAGAGUGGAAUUCCCGGUGUAGCGGUGAAAUGCGCAGAUAUCGGGAAGAACACCCGUGGCGAAGGCGGCCCUCUGGGACGGUACUGACGCUGAGACGCGAAAGCGUGGGGAGCGAACAGG
rnacentral:rRNA from 1 species